AUUGAACGCUGGCGGCAUGCUUUACACAUGCAUGUCGAACGGUAACAGGCCGCAAGGUGCUGACGAGUGGCGAACGGGUGAGUAAUGCAUCGGAACGUGCCCAGUCGUGGGGGAUAACGCAGCGAAAGCUGCGCUAAUACCGCAUACGAUCUAUGGAUGAAAGCGGGGGACCGUAAGGCCUCGCGCGAUUGGAGCGGCCGAUGUCGGAUUAGGUAGUUGGUGGGGUAAAGGCUCACCAAGCCAACGAUCUGUAGCUGGUCUGAGAGGACGACCAGCCACACUGGGACUGAGACACGGCCCAGACUCCUACGGGAGGCAGCAGUGGGGAAUUUUGGACAAUGGGCGCAAGCCUGAUCCAGCAAUGCCGCGUGCAGGAAGAAGGCCUUCGGGUUGUAAACUGCUUUUGUACGGAACGAAACGGCUCUGGUUAAUACCUGGGGCUAAUGACGGUACCGUAAGAAUAAGCACCGGCUAACUACGUGCCAGCAGCCGCCGUAAUAC
rnacentral:rRNA from 1 species